AUGACAUACAUUUAAAAAUCUUUAAAUACUGUUGUGUUCCUUCUGUAAUUCAUUGACUAAAAAUACAAAUGGGAAUAUACAUGAACACUUUCAGCAAACUGAGUCAAGAAACUCACUCCCUUAAUGCAAGGUGCAAGUCAACUGAUUUUCGAGCUAACGAUGUAGAAGCAAAACAAACUAGCAGUGUUGAGAAAGACAGGUGUUAGGCAAAUAGACAACCAAAAUCAAGAAACCCUCACCACUACUGGAGUAACUGAGUCCACGGAACAUCUCAGUUUGGAGCCACUGUGUGAUGGAAGGACUGAGGUCAAUCUGAGCCAUAUAGUGAGGGCCUGUCUCAAUAUAAGAAGGUUCUUAAGUUUAGGCAAGCAAAAUACUUAAUUGAUUUUAUGAAGAAAUACUCAUAAACACUGAAAUUAUUUAAUUCUGUUAUCAGAAAAACCUUCAAAGGAAGUGAGCCCUUGCCGGCUUCCAUUCCUUAUUUUAUAUGAGGUGCCUAGGAAAGAUCUAAUUAGCACCUAAUAAAUCUUCAGUAGGGUUUGAGGGAAUAAAUUAAAGUUAUUAAUUUUAGGUGCUGGGAAAAUUGCUCGGUCGGUAAACUGCAAACCCGAGAAGCUGAUUUCAGUCCCCAGCAAGCUGGACACAGUAGUGGACAUGGUGGCACAUACAUGUAAUCAAGGCACUGGGAAGCUAAGAGCGGUGGAUCCCUGGGAAUUUUAAACUACCUAGUUUACUCUACUCACAGACCCCCAACUCCCAGGAAGAAACCGCUUACAAAGUAAGGUGGACAGCUUCUUUCACACAUAAACAUGCACACACAAAAUUAUAUUAGUUUAGCUUAAAUGCCAAGAUUUUGUACCAAACAGCAUUUUGUACCUGAAGCACGCAAAAUCAGUAGCUCACCAGCAACAUUCAAGAAAGGAUAAAUAAGUCUGCUUCCGUGGGAAAACGGAAUUUUGAAACUUCAUGAAGAACGUUCUAAGCCACUUGUAAGUUCCUUGAAUCUUUUCUCAAACUUAAUUAAUACCGAGCAGAUUAUUGACUAUAUCAAAUAAUAAUAAUUUAUGCUACUGGGUAUAAGAGAGCUACUAAAACAGUAUUCUUGUCUAAAAAUUCUGAAAAUGUAAAACAAAACAUUCUGUAGAUGUAAGAAUAAGAAACAGAAGUAAAGGCUUCUCUGUACGGCUUCCAGUCUACUGCUAAAUUAAAUUUAUAAGACCUACUCUUCCAGCUACUAGGAAAUAAAAUUUCUUACAUUUGUACUUUUCAAAAAUCACUUUCAGUUAAUGAGUAUACCAAGUGCUACAACAAGGUAACUAGAUCUAAAGAAACAUCAACCCCAAUGGUGAAGAAAAUACCAACAGUAGGCUAACCCUCAUCUUCCGUAGAACCUGUAUUUCAGAAAACUUAAAAAAUAAAUCCCUCUAGCUUUUGCUUUGACAGCAUAAUUAAGUAGUAACCAAAGUUCCCAUGUGUAGGUAGUCCUUUAUACCAGGCUCACUAACCUCUGAAACAUACACCCUCUGAAUCACAGUGCCUGCCUGGCAUACAUUAUGUCACCAUUAAAUACUUGCUGAAUGAACUUUUCCAAUAGUACUGUAUUUGAGCUGAGCCAACCAAAUUCUUAGACUUCGGUUCAGUCAAAAUAGCAUGUAUUUUGCAAAGGGGGUGGGGAGGGAGGGAGGCAGGAUUAAGAAUGCAGUUUUGUGAGUCACUAGAGCAAUAUGAAUUAGCCC
rnacentral:lncRNA from 1 species